GUUCUAUUCUAAGUACUAGUGCCGUAGGUUACUAACUGGAAAGGAGUAAAGCUAGUCUAUAGCUUCUCAGACCUGUUGUACUGGUGCUUAA
rnacentral:pre_miRNA from 1 species